rnacentral:rRNA from 1 species
UACGAAGGGGGCUAGCGUUGCUCGGAAUUACUGGGCGUAAAGGGAGCGUAGGCGGGUCGUCAAGUUGGGGUGAAAGCCCAGGGCUCAACCUUGGAAUUGCCUUCAAACUGACGAUCUAGAGUAUGGAAGAGGUAAGGUGGAACUCCGAGUGUAGAGGUGAAAUUCGUAGAUAUUCGGAAGAACACCAGUGGCGAAGGCGACUUACUGGACACAUAUUGACGCUGAGGUGCGAAAGCGUGGGGAGCAAACAGGG